UGGACCUGGAGCGCAGGAACCACGGAGCGCUUGUCUUGGAAGUCGAGUUUCACCAGGUAGCGGACCCGGAGCACAGGAUCCAGGAGGUAGAGAACCGGGUACUCGAAAUCUGCGGAGCGCGAUUCCCAUACGUCCUCUCUACUACGCGGUUGUUUCCAGACUGCGGAAUUCGACUAGCUGAAUUUCGUCGUCGACGAUUGCUAUAGAUCGAUGACGUCAAGAAAAAAAAAUUUUGUGUGACGGCACUUUCUGAACAUCCGAACAUCCGAAAAUCCAAAAUAUGGUUUCGAAAUUUAAUACUAUGUAUGGUGUAUGAUUUCCGAAAUUUUCGAUGACAAGUGAACUUGUCUUUUACUAAAAAUUGUUUUUUAAAAUUUCUCUUAUUUUUGGAUAAAUAUUAUUUCGGAAAAAAGGAAUAUAAGAUCAAUUUGAAAUCAUACGAUUUGAAUGACAUUGUUCUAUUCAUAUAUUACUUCAAACAAUGAGAUUCUUCAGAAACUACUGACGUGAGUAAAUUCACAUAUUAAUUGUAUUACUCAUUUUGUACUGUAAAAUAUAAAAUUGCGGAAAAUAAUCAACAAUUAUGGCCUAAGACUUAUUGUUAGAUGUUAUAAAUUAUUAAAAUCGAAGCUCGAUCAUUUUCAAUAAAUUUCUUAUGAGCCUUGGCAAAGGCAGGCUUGAUGAACGCGUCCAUCUGAGGUUUCAUCUCCAAUCUGCACGGCAAAAGUUGUCUGGAAUUCCAGGAAAACUGUCAUAAUGGAAAUUUAUUGAGUGUCUACAAGUUUGAUACAAUAUACUAAAUACGUCACUUACCUUAUAAAUAUACGUAUGUCAGAAUGUAUUUACUAAUUACUUACGGUCAAAAUUACACGUUCAUUACUAAUGCCCGCCAUCGAGUAAUAAUAGAGUAAAGUGUGCCGAAGCAGCCUUCACUCGUUGUAUCUAUAUAUUUAUCACGUUAUUAAGUAUACCAUAACAGGAAAUUCAUAUAUAAUCAUAUGUGUCUCCUGGAUAACUUCAAAUUAGACAAUUAGGUGAUAUAACAAAUCAAAUGAAUCAUGGUAGACAAUUAGCAUGCUGGGUGGCUGGACCCAUAUAAAAGAUUGACAAUUCACGACGGUUCCUGAUUUUUCAGUUUUUGCUUUCAAAAUUCGAUUUGAAAUGGGUACAAUUUUCUAUAAGAGAAAUCGACAAUAACCUUUAGUUAUCGAUGCAUCUGUUAUUGUACACGCGGUACACUGAACAAUUGUAAAAUGAGAAUACCAAUAUCUUGUAAGUUGUAACAAUAUGCAAUACGUCGCGAAGUUUCAUUCCGAGACCGGCCUUCAGCUGCGGUCUAAUGAGUUAGAUAAAAUGUAGAACCCCAGCUACAACUCAUUUGCCAAUUUGACUGACGUUCAUUGUUGUUCUAUAGCGGCGAUUCGUUUGUUCGCUGAAUAUUUAUCACGCAAUUUCGAUAUUUGCUACACAGUAUAGAAAAUAGAUUAUAAAAUUUAUACCUUCCGUUGUAAAAUUCAAGUCGACUAUAUUAUGUAAUAAGAUUGUUACAUCAACCAAAAGAUCGUUACAGAGAUAAAAGGAAAUAA